rnacentral:lncRNA from 1 species
AAUAUUGUUAAGUAUUUAACCUACCAAACAUUAUAGCUUAGUCUAGCCUCCUUAUAACUUUUUUUCCUGAAUCAUUUGAAGAUAAGUUACAUAUAUCAUGGCCCUUUAAUCCUAAAUUCUUCAGUAUUUCCUAGGACUAAGGGAAUUAACUUACAUUAAUAUCAGUGCAGUUAUCACCCUCAAAAUUUUAUAUUGAUAUAAUACUUUCUCCUAAUCUCCCAUAUUUUAAUUUUGCCAGUUAUCUAGUUGUGUAAUUUAUAGCAUUUCCCCCAGGAUCUAAUCUAAGCACAGAUAUUAAAUUUAUUCAUCAUGUCUCCUUAGUAUCUUUUAACCUGGAACAUUUCUAACAGUCUUUAUCUUUUAUAUUUUAAACAUCAAGCCCUUCUCCAUUUUUUAAUAAAUCAUUUUCUAUACGUUUCUAUAUUGUUUAUCAUUGGCAAAAAUAUUUUUCCUUUUGGAAAAUCAUAGCAUAUUUAUAAAAUUCACAUUAUAUAAUCUGUAACUGACACUAACCAUUAUCUAUAAUAAACACAUGCCACUGUGCCCCAGCUCCUAAUUUUGGAAGUUGGACUCCCUUCAUUAUCAGAGCAUAUGGCAAAUUACAUAUUAUACUCUCCUUUAUAUCUAUUGUUUAGAGUCCGAGUUCCACAGGUCAAUAGAUAUUUUGGCUCACUAUCAUCCCAAUAUUGAUGUUUCUCUACUCAUUUUGGUUGCUAGAAGCUCAUUCUCCAGAAGAUACUGCGGAAAGGGACAUGGAAACUAUUCCUUAAGUUCAUGAAUGCUCAUAACUGUCUAUGAUCCUUGACGGUUUGCAUGGACAUAAAACCCU